GGUUAAGCGACUAAGCGUACACGGUGGAUGCCCUGGCAGUCAGAGGCGAUGAAGGACGUGCUAAUCUGCGAAAAGCGCCGGCGAGGUGAUAUGAACCCUUGACCCGGCGAUGUCCGAAUGGGGAAACCCAGUGUGUUCCGACACACUAUCGUUAACUGAAUACAUAGGUUAACGAGGCGAACCGGGGGAACUGAAACAUCUAAGUACCCCGAGGAAAAGAAAUCAACCGAGAUUCCCCCAGUAGCGGCGAGCGAACGGGGAGCAGCCCGGAGUCUGAAUCAGCUUGUGUGUUAGUGGAACGGUCUGGAAAGUCCGACGGUACAGGGUGAUAGUCCCGUACACGAAAAUACACUUGCUGUGAACUCGAAGAGUAGGGCGGGACACGUGGUAUCCUGUCUGAAUAUGGGGGGACCAUCCUCCAAGGCUAAAUACUCCUGACUGACCGAUAGUGAACCAGUACCGUGAGGGAAAGGCGAAAAGAACCCCGGCGAGGGGAGUGAAAAAGAACCUGAAACCGUGUACGUACAAGCAGUGGGAGCACCUUCGGGUGUGACUGCGUACCUUUUGUAUAAUGGGUCAGCGACUUAUAUUCUGUAGCAAGGUUAACCGUAUAGGGGAGCCGAAGGGAAACCGAGUCUUAACUGGGCGUUAAGUUGCAGGGUAUAGACCCGAAACCCGGUGAUCUAGCCAUGGGCAGGUUGAAGGUUGGGUAACACUAACUGGAGGACCGAACCGACUAAUGUUGAAAAAUUAGCGGAUGACCUGUGGCUGGGGGUGAAAGGCCAAUCAAACCGGGAGAUAGCUGGUUCUCCCCGAAAGCUAUUUAGGUAGCGCCUCGUGAACUCAUCUUCGGGGGUAGAGCACUGUUUCGGCUAGGGGGCCAUCCCGGCUUACCAACCCGAUGCAAACUACGAAUACCGAAGAAUGUUAUCACGGGAGACACACGGCGGGUGCUAACGUCCGUCGUGAAGAGGGAAACAACCCAGACCGCCAGCUAAGGUCCCAAAGUCAUGGUUAAGUGGGAAACGAUGUGGGAAGGCACAGACAGCCAGGAUGUUGGCUUAGAAGCAGCCAUCAUUUAAAGAAAGCGUAAUAGCUCACUGGUCGAGUCGGCCUGCGCGGAAGAUGUAACGGGGCUAAACCAUGCACCGAAGCUGCGGCAGCGACACUAUGUGUUGUUGGGUAGGGGAGCGUUCUGUAAGCCGUUGAAGGUGUGCUGUGAGGCAUGCUGGAGGUAUCAGAAGUGCGAAUGCUGACAUAAGUAACGAUAAAGCGGGUGAAAAGCCCGCUCGCCGGAAGACCAAGGGUUCCUGUCCAACGUUAAUCGGGGCAGGGUGAGUCGACCCCUAAGGCGAGGCCGAAAGGCGUAGUCGAUGGGAAACAGGUUAAUAUUCCUGUACUUGGUGUUACUGCGAAGGGGGGACGGAGAAGGCUAUGUCAGCCGGGCGACGGUUGUCCCGGUUUAAGCAUGUAGGCGGAGGUUCCAGGUAAAUCCGGUACCUUAUUAACGCUGAGGUGUGAUGACGAGGCACUACGGUGCUGAAGUGAUAAAUGCCCUGCUUCCAGGAAAAGCCUCUAAGCAUCAGGUAACACGAAAUCGUACCCCAAACCGACACAGGUGGUCAGGUAGAGAAUACCAAGGCGCUUGAGAGAACUCGGGUGAAGGAACUAGGCAAAAUGGUGCCGUAACUUCGGGAGAAGGCACGCUGAUAKGUAGGUGAAGYCCCUGCGGRCGGAGCUGAAAUCAGUCGAAGAUACCAGCUGGCUGCAACUGUUUAUUAAAAACACAGCACUGUGCAAACACGAAAGUGGACGUAUACGGUGUGACGCCUGCCCGGUGCCGGAAGGUUAAUUGAUGGGGUUAGCGGCAACGCGAAGCUCUUGAUCGAAGCCCCGGUAAACGGCGGCCGUAACUAUAACGGUCCUAAGGUAGCGAAAUUCCUUGUCGGGUAAGUUCCGACCUGCACGAAUGGCGUAAUGAUGGCCAGGCUGUCUCCACCCGAGACUCAGUGAAAUUGAACUCGCUGUGAAGAUGCAGUGUACCCGCGGCAAGACGGAAAGACCCCGUGAACCUUUACUAUAGCUUGACACUGAACACUGGUCCUUGAUGUGUAGGAUAGGUGGGAGGCUUUGAAGCGUGGACGCCAGUCUGCGUGGAGCCRUCCUUGAAAUACCACCCUUUAAUGGCUGGUGUUCUAACGUAGACCCGUGAUCCGGGUUGCGGACAGUGUCUGGUGGGUAGUUUGACUGGGGCGGUCUCCUCCCAAAGAGUAACGGAGGAGCACGAAGGUUGGCUAAUCCUGGUCGGACAUCAGGAGGUUAGUGCAAUGGCAUAAGCCAGCUUGACUGCGAGCGUGACGGCGCGAGCAGGUGCGAAAGCAGGUCAUAGUGAUCCGGUGGUUCUGAAUGGAAGGGCCAUCGCUCAACGGAUAAAAGGUACUCCGGGGAUAACAGGCUGAUACCGCCCAAGAGUUCAUAUCGACGGCGGUGUUUGGCACCUCGAUGUCGGCUCAUCACAUCCUGGGGCUGAAGUAGGUCCCAAGGGUAUGGCUGUUCGCCAUUUAAAGUGGUACGCGAGCUGGGUUUAGAACGUCGUGAGACAGUUCGGUCCCUAUCUGCCGUGGGCGCUGGAGAAUUGAGGGGGGCUGCUCCUAGUACGAGAGGACCGGAGUGGACGCAUCACUGGUGUUCGGGUUGUCAUGCCAAUGGCACUGCCCGGUAGCUAAAUGCGGAAGAGAUAAGUGCUGAAAGCAUCUAAGCACGAAACUUGCCCCGAGAUGAGUUCUCCCUGAGACUUUAAGUCUCCUGAAGGAACGUUGAAGACGACGACGUUGAUAGGUCGGGUGUGUAAGCGCAGCGAUGCGUUGAGCUAACCGAUACUAAUGAACCGUGAGGCUUAACCUU
rnacentral:rRNA from 1 species